rnacentral:lncRNA from 1 species
GCGCACUUUACUUAAGCUUUGAUUACCGAAUUCGUUUACCCAUUGCACUAUUGGAAAUUUACCACUUGUUGUGGAUUGAAAACGAAAAAAAUUUGUUCUAUGUAGUGUUUUGAUAUUAAUAAGCUCAUAAUAAUGAGACGAUGGUACGUUAAUCGUAAGUGUAAAAUCGCAUUUUUUUUAUACCCGGUACUCGAAGAGUAAAUAGGGUAUAUUGUAUUUGUGUGGAAUAACGGUUGUAUGUAACGCACAGAAGGAAGCGUUUCCGACCCCACGUUCCUACAAGGUGGAACUCGACUUUGACUAUGCUUGAACGCCUUUCUUUGUUCAAAACUUUCUGUGAGAAUCAAGUUAGUGAGUCGUUUCAAUUGUCUGAAGCAGACUGGAAAGAUACUCACGAACUGGUCGAAGCGUUACAUGCAAUUUAUACUGCCACACAAAAACUGCAGAUGAAGCAGCUACAUCUGGGCGAUUUCUAUAAGAUGUGGUUAGAGCUUACGCUAACAAUUAAAGCCAUGAAAAACUCACAUGGUGCAGCACUACAAGAGGCAAUUGGGAGAAGAGAAGAGGCUUUAAAGUCGAACGAAUUGGUUACUUCAGCCAUCUAUUUGGAUCCCAGGAUGCGAAGGGAUUUGCUUAAAAAUCCAUUAAAACUAUUACUAACGAAGAACCAUUUGACUACACUUUACAGGCAAAUAAAUGGAAUUGCAAACAAAGUAAGUAACUUAAAGAAUGAAGAAUGCAAUUGUUUUCGUAUUUAUUUUAAUCUAUGUUUACACUGUUAAUUGCAGGACGAUCUAUUACCAGCUAUAAGCUUAGAUUCGCCAGAGCCCACUGCGCAUGAAUUUGACCAGCCUUCCACAAGCCAAUUUUCGAGCGCGUCACAGAGUACUUGCUCAUUGCUCAAUGAUUUCCUCAAUUCCAUUGAGGUUGCUUAAGGCAAAGAUGAGCCAGAUGAAGAGGAGGAACAUGAAGUUCAGCUUGCCAUUAAUGAAAUAAACAAUUAUUGUCCGAAGCCAAUUGACAUAAAUGCCAAUAUUAUGGAUUAUUGGGAAGAAAAGAAAUACAUAUAUCCCCGCUUAUAUGAAUUGGAAAAGGUCAUACAUUGUGUUCUAGCAACACAAGUCAGCGUUGAUAGGGCAUUUUCGGCACUGACACUUAUUCUAUCGGAC